GAAAUGCGAUAAGUAAUGUGAAUUGCAGAAUUCAGUGAAUCAUCGAAUCUUUGAACGCACAUUGCGCCCGCCAGUAUUCUGGCGGGCAUGCCUGUUCGAGCGUCAUUUCAACCAUCAAGCCCCCGGCUUGUGUUGGGGACCUGCGGCUGCCCGCAGGCCCUGAAAAACAGUGGCGGGCUCGCUGUCACACCGAGCGUAGUAGCAUACAUUCUCGCUCAGGGCGUGCUGCGGGUUCCGGCCGUUAAACGACCUUCAUAACCCAAGGUUGACCUCGGAUCAGGUAGGAAGACUCGCUGAACUUAAGC
rnacentral:misc_RNA from 1 species